GCUGUUCACUUAGCGGACUCUUGAGCGUUACGUUUGAAUCAUCCGAAGGAGAUGGCAUUGAGUCGAGGACCUUACUCAAGAAGGGGUUUGGCUUUUUGGUCGACGGCGUCUCAAUGCGACUCUGUGGGGAUAUAUCAAAAAAAAUCGAACUCCCAUUUCAUUUGCUCUUGCUGUCGACUACGAUUUAAAAUUUAAAUCAUGUCGCAUUAAAUCAAGCUGUGCAUUCCGAUAAAUCAAAUGAUGUCGAACCAAUGAUGUGCAACAGAAGGAGUAAAAGCAGAAGGAAUCUGGAAACCCAAUUCCAUUUGCUUUGAGCCGGGACAAAAGGUGUCCGAGUAGAAUCACCCUCAACGGGUAUGGAAAUGGGUAUGGGAAUAGAAAUGGGAAUGGGAAGUGUGAGGCGGGUCGGACGUAAAAGCGAAAUGUGAGAAGCAGUGAAAAUGGAGUGAAUAGAGCAUGUAUUAUGUACAGGUGGAAAGGAUGUUGGAAAGCGGAAGGAGAAGCUUGGCUUAAUUAAGAGGAUUUGUUUGCUUGCUCCAACUCACCACGACAAUUGCAAUUACUUGC